UACAGAGGGGGCAAGCGUUGUUCGGAAUUACUGGGCGUAAAGGGCGCGUAGGUGGCCUGCUAAGUCGAACGUGAAAUCCCCGAGCUCAACUCGGGAACUGCGUCCGAUACUGGCAGGCUCGAAUCCGGGAGAGGGAUGUGGAAUUCCAGGUGUAGCGGUGAAAUGCGUAGAUAUCUGGAGGAACACCGGUGGCGGAGGCGACAUCCUGGACCGGUAUUGACGCUGAGGCGCGAAAGCCAGGGGAGCAAACGGG
rnacentral:rRNA from 1 species